rnacentral:rRNA from 1 species
GAUGAACGCUGGCGGCGUGCCUAAUACAUGCAAGUCGAGCGAACGGACGAGAAGCUUGCUUCUCUGAUGUUAGCGGCGGACGGGUGAGUAACACGUGGAUAGCCUACCUAUAAGACUGGGAUAACUUCGGGAAACCGGAGCUAAUACCGGAUAAUAUUUUGAACCGCAUGGUUCAAAAGUGAAAGACGGUCUUGCUGUCACUUAUAGAUGGAUCCGCGCUGCAUUAGCUAGUUGGUAAGGUAACGGCUUACCAAGGCAACGAUGCAUAGCCGACCUGAGAGGGUGAUCGGCCACACUGGAACUGAGACACGGUCCAGACUCCUACGGGAGGCAGCAGUAGGGAAUCUUCCGCAAUGGGCGAAAGCCUGACGGAGCAACGCCGCGUGAGUGAUGAAGGUCUUCGGAUCGUAAAACUCUGUUAUUAGGGAAGAACAUAUGUGUAAGUAACUGUGCACAUCUUGACGGUACCUAAACAGAAAGCCACGGCUAACUACGUG